rnacentral:rRNA from 1 species
AAUCAACGCUGGCGGCGUGCCUCAGACAUGCAAGUCGAACGAUUAAAGCUCUCUUCGGAGAGUGUAUAGAGUGGCGCACGGGUGAGUAACACGUAAGUAAUCUACCCUCGAGUGGGGAAUAACGUCCGGAAACGGACGCUAAUACCGCAUAAUGCAGCGGCACCGCAAGGUGACAGUUGUUAAAGAUUUAUCGCUUGAGGAGGAGCUUGCGGCAGAUUAGCAGUUGGUAAGGUAAUGGCUUACCAAGGCUACGAUCUGUAACCGGUCUAAGAGGACGGUCGGUCACACUGACACUGAAUAACGGGUCAGACUCCUACGGGAGGCAGCAGUCGGGAAUUUUGGGCAAUGGGCGAAAGCCUGACCCAGCAACGCCGCGUGAAGGAUGAAGUAUUUCGGUAUGUAAACUUCGAAAGAAUGGGAAGAAUAAAUGACGGUACCAUUUAUAAGGUCCGGCUAACUACGUGCC